AGAGUUGAUCCUGGCUUAGAACGAACGCUGGCGGCGCGUUUAAGCAUGCAAGUCGAGCGGCAAGGGCCUUCGGGCCCCUAGAGCGGCGGACGGGUGAGUAACACGUGGACAAUCUGCCCCCCGGCCCGGGAUAGCCCAGGGAAACCUGGAUUAAUACCGGAUGAGACGGGACCCGCGAUGGCGGGACCCGGGAAAGGCGCUGCGGCGCCGCCGGGGGAUGAGUCUGCGUCCCAUUAGCUAGACGGCGGGGUAACGGCCCACCGUGGCGACGAUGGGUAGCCGGCCUGAGAGGGUGGACGGCCACAUUGGAACUGAGACACGGUCCAGACUCCUACGGGAGGCAGCAGCUAAGAAUCUUCCGCAAUGGGCGAAAGCCUGACGGAGCCGACGCCGCGUGAACGAAGAAGGCCGUGAGGUUGUAAAGUUCUUUUCGGGAGGGGGAACAACCGUGGCAGGGAAUGGCCGCGGGAUGACGUGAAUCCCGGAAUAAGCCCCGGCUAACUACGUGCCAGCAGCCGC
rnacentral:rRNA from 1 species